rnacentral:rRNA from 1 species
UAUAGGUUUGGUCCCAGCCUUCCUGUUAACUUUCAAUAGACUUAUACAUGCAAGCAUCCACGCCCCGGUGAGUAACGCCCUUCGAAUCACACAGGACUAAAAGGAGCAGGUAUCAAGCACACACUCUUGUAGCUCACAACGCCUUGCUUAACCACACCCCCACGGGAGACAGCAGUAACAAAAAUUAAGCCAUAAACGAAAGUUUGACUAAGCCAUAUUGAUUAGGGUUGGUAAAUCUCGUGCCAGCCACCGCGGUCAUACGAUUGACCCAAGCUAACAGGAGUACGGCGUAAAGCGUGUUAAAGCAUCAUACUAAAUAGAGUUAAAUUUUAAUUAAACUGUAAAAAGCCAUAAUUAUAACAAAAAUAAAUGACGAAAGUAACCCUACAAUAGCUGAUACACCAUAGCUAAGACCCAAACUGGGAUUAGAUACCCCACUAUGCUUAGCCCUAAACACAAAUUAUUAU